UGACGAGUGGCGGACGGGUGAGUAAUGUCUGGGAAACUGCCUGAUGGAGGGGGAUAACUACUGGAAACGGUAGCUAAUACCGCAUAACGUCGCAAGACCAAAGAGGGGGACCUUCGGGCCUCUUGCCAUCGGAUGUGCCCAGAUGGGAUUAGCUAGUAGGUGGGGUAACGGCUCACCUAGGCGACGAUCCCUAGCUGGUCUGAGAGGAUGACCAGCCACACUGGAACUGAGACACGGUCCAGACUCCUACGGGAGGCAGCAGUGGGGAAUAUUGCACAAUGGGCGCAAGCCUGAUGCAGCCAUGCCGCGUGUAUGAAGAAGGCCUUCGGGUUGUAAAGUACUUUCAGCGGGGAGGAAGGCGAUAAGGUUAAUAACCUUGUCGAUUGACGUUACCCGCAGAAGAAGCACCGGCUAACUCCGUGCCAGCAGCCGCGGUAAUACGGAGGGUGCAAGCGUUAAUCGGAAUUACUGGGCGUAAAGCGCACGCAGGCGGUCUGUCAAGUCGGAUGUGAAAUCCCCGGGCUCAACCUGGGAACUGCAUUCGAAACUGGCAGGCUAGAGUCUUGUAGAGGGGGGUAGAAUUCCAGGUGUAGCGGUGAAAUGCGUAGAGAUCUGGAGGAAUACCGGUGGCGAAGGCGGCCCCCUGGACAAAGACUGACGCUCAGGUGCGAAAGCGUGGGGGGCAAACAGGAUUAGAUACCCUGGUAGUCCACGCCGUAAACGAUGUCGACUUGGAGGUUGUGCCCUUGAGGCGUGGCUUCCGGAGCUAACGCGUUAAGUCGACCGCCUGGGGAGUACGGC
rnacentral:rRNA from 1 species